rnacentral:rRNA from 1 species
CCCAGACUCCUACGGGAGGCAGCAGUGGGGAAUAUUGCACAAUGGGGGAACCCUGAUGCAGCGACGCCGCGUGGGUGAAGGAGUAUUUCGGUAUGUAAAGCCCUAUCAGCAGGGAAGAACAAUGACGGUACCUGACUAAGAAGCAUCGGCUAACUCCGUGCCAGCAGCCGCGGUAAUACGGAGGAUGCGAGCGUUAUCCGGAUUUAUUGGGUUUAAAGGGUGCGCAGGCGGCCUGUUAAGUCAGCGGUAAAGGCCGGGGGCUCAACCGCGGGGAGCCGUUGAAACUGGCGGGCUGGAGUUGGAGAGAAGUACGCGGAAUGCGCGGUGUAGCGGUGAAAUGCUUAGAUAUCGCGCAGAACCCCGAUUGCGAAGGCAGCGUACCGGCUCCACACUGACGCUGAGGCACGAAAGCGUGGGUAUCGAACAGGAUUAGAUACCCCUGUA